rnacentral:rRNA from 1 species
GCUUACGGCCACACCGCCUGGUUCACGCCUGAUCUCGGAAGCUAAGAAAGGUCGGGCCUGGUUAGUACUUGGAUGGGAGACCGCCUCGGAAUACCAGGUGCUGUAAGCU